rnacentral:rRNA from 1 species
GCUGGCGGCGUGCUUAACACAUGCAAGUCGAACGAAAAGAGGGAAAGAGCUUGCUCUUUCCGGAAUUGAGUGGCAAACGGGUGAGUAACACGUAAACAACCUGCCUUCAGGAUGGGGACAACAGACGGAAACGACUGCUAAUACCGAAUAAGUUCCAAGAGCCGCAUGGCCCAUGGAAGAAAAGGUGGCCUCUACCUGUAAGCUAUCGCCUGAAGAGGGGUUUGCGUCUGAUUAGCUGGUUGGAGGGGUAACGGCCCACCAAGGCGACGAUCAGUAGCCGGUCUGAGAGGAUGAACGGCCACACUGGAACUGAGACACGGUCCAGACUCCUACGGGAGGCAGCAGUGGGGAAUCUUCCGCAAUGGGCGAAAGCCUGACGGAGCAACGCCGCGUGAGUGAUGACGGCCUUCGGGUUGUAAAACUCUGUGAUCCGGGACGAAAAGGCAGAGUGCGAAGAACAAACUGCAUUGACGGUACCGGAAAAGCAAGCCACGGCUAACUACGUGCCAGCAGCCGCGGUAAUACGUAGGUGGCAAGCGUUGUCCGGAAUUAUUGGGCGUAAAGCGCGCGCAGGCGGCUUCCCAAGUCCCUCUUAAAAGUGCGGGGCUUAACCCCGUGAUGGGAAGGAAACUGGGAAGCUGGAGUAUCGGAGAGGAAAGUGGAAUUCCUAGUGUAGCGGUGAAAUGCGUAGAGAUUAGGAAGAACACCGGUGGCG